GGAAGGGUGGCUCAGUGGUAGAGCAUCACCGUUGAGGGCGGUGGAUCUUGGCUUCGCGUGGUUCGACUCCCGCCCCUUCCA
rnacentral:tRNA from 1 species